rnacentral:rRNA from 1 species
UACACUCCUACGGGAGGCAGCAGUGGGGAAUUUUGGACAAUGGGCGAAAGCCUGAUCCAGCCAUGCCGCGUGCAGGAUGAAGGCCUUCGGGUUGUAAACUGCUUUUGUACGGAACGAAACGGCCUUUUCUAAUAAAGAGGGCUAAUGACGGUACCGUAAGAAUAAGCACCGGCUAACUACGUGCCAGCAGCCGCGGUAAUACGUAGGGUGCAAGCGUUAAUCGGAAUUACUGGGCGUAAAGCGUGCGCAGGCGGUUAUGUAAGACAGUUGUGAAAUCCCCGGGCUCAACCUGGGAACUGCAUCUGUGACUGCAUAGCUAGAGUACGGUAGAGGGGGAUGGAAUUCCGCGUGUAGCAGUGAAAUGCGUAGAUAUGCGGAGGAACACCGAUGGCGAAGGCAAUCCCCUGGACCUGUACUGACGCUCAUGCACGAAAGCGUGGGGAGCAAACAGGAUUAGAUACCCCGGUAGUCCCAUGAU